rnacentral:lncRNA from 1 species
AAGAUAUGGGUUCAACAACGUGAAUACGAUGAUGAAGAAGAUUUUGGAAUUAAUUUUGUAGAUGACUCUUCAGACGAUGGUGAGAAAUGUAGUGGCGAUGAAAAGAUAACAUUAGUAGUGUUUCCAAUUCCAAAAGGAGGUAGCUAUGCUAAGAUAGGAUCUGGAAGCAGGCUCAAUUCAACAACUCAGAUUUAUCCGCUAGCUCAAGGCAGCAACAUGGAGAAAUAACCACAAGUAAAACGAGGUUGAUAGGAGAGGCAGUAGCAAUUCUGGGCAACAGCAGCAGUUCACUUCAUCUGUUUCUACUGCUGAACGUGGGCAGCAGCAGGUGAAUGAAAAUAUCACUCACAACGGCUCUAAUAAGUGUACCAACAAUCACUUUAGAUGACAGAAUGUUACUUGAUGCGUUGGUAAAUCCCGCACCUUUCGAAAACUUAAGUGUAACUAAUGUUGCUAGCAAUGGAAGAACAACCAACACCAAUAACAAAAAUCAAAGAAAUGCAGUCUUUGUCACUAAAGAGGAUAACACUUUGGUAUCACAAGAUUUUCCUCAAGAAAUUCCAAAACCUAUAAAUUUAGGCAGAGAUGUUUAUGAAGAAAGUGAGGAACAUAUUACUCUAAAUCAACUCCGGGCAGCGGCAGCGAGGAAAGGCGAUUUGUCGCCAUUUCAUAGCGGAAAAAAUAGGAAAUCUAGAACAAGGGAUAGAAGCUGGGAUGGCAGGCAACAUAGCUACGAUUGAAAAGCAACACAAGAUGUUGCCCUUAAGAAACCACCAAUGAGAAAUGCAAAGCAAAAGGCGAGUGUACCUACCACUUCCGCAAGGUCAAAUAAAUCCAAAAAGAAAUGACAAAGUUUGAAGAUUAUUUGAAAAAAGCGGAAGAAGAAGCAAAAGAGCUACAAAUUGGAGAAUGCACAAGUUUAAACAAAGAAGACACAGACUCAAUUUGUUACAUUGUAUUAUUUUACCAUUUGUUAAGUAUUAUCAUCUAUAAUAUCAUCAGAGAGUAUGCUAUAAACUCUAUGAUAAUCACUGAACAUUUAGUCUUAGCAAUUUCUUUCUUUUUGCAUGAUUGCUAGUGAGGUUAAUUUAUGCCUCGAGAGGAUUAGUACAAUAAGGGUAGCCCGGUUGCGUUAUAUAGGUAACAAUACUGGUGCUUUUGUACCCCUUAUUUGUAUUUUUUCUAUUUGUUGUAUUUUCUUACUGUUUUAUGUUAUUAAUAUAAAAACCAACCGUAGGCACUUUCCUAGUGGAAUAAAAAAAAACAUUUGUACAAAACCAUUUAAAUACCAAUCAAAUAAGACUAUGCAUAACAGAAAAUUGAGCUAACAUUUUAUUUCUGAAAAUUUUAACUAGUGAAACAAAAAUCAACUAACUAAUCAUUCUGCAUUAUAGACAUCAAUUCGAACUUAAAAAGUUCUUAUAAACAAACAUGUGCAAAUCAAUGCAUGCCUUUGCUCUUAAAUCAACCUUGACAAUUUUAGUUUUCUCGUCACAUGAUUUUACAUUAAUUACUUCUCAAGCGGGUUAAGCUCAAUUGAAUUCUUAUUAAUAGUAACAGUAACAAACCUAGGAUAUUAACAUCCAAUUUACUUGAAGUCCAGAAAUCACACUAAAAUUCUUAACAUAGUUCAUGGGCGUUUAACACUAAAUAAGAAUCAGAUGCAAAGUACAGAAUAUUAUUUUUAACCAUAAUACAUGGAUAUAUCUUGUCUCUUCAAAAGAACAACUAUAACACGCACAUACACUCUUAAUCAAGCUGAUCCCAAAUAAGAGUGCCCCAUUUUAUCUUAUGUACAUGUUAAAUGGCUCAUCCACAAGGCUUAUACACACAACUUCUGAGCAUGCUACUCAACAUUUAAACUAAACAUUCACCCUUACUAUCGACCACAGAUUUCAUAAUAUGUAAGUAACAAAAGAGAAAGCCUCGAUAACUUUUAUAAUUCAAAAUCUACUACAGAAUGAUUAAGAAGUAGAAGAAACAGAAGAACUAAGUUCAAAUACAGCGUGUACUCAACCAUUCUUCCACUCCAAAUACAUGCUUACAAUCAACUUUGUUGUCCAUAGUUUGGGAAAUUACUUGGAAAUUGAAAAGGGAACAACAAGGAGUAAGGAGUUAACAAAAAUAGCAGCAGAAUUAGCUUAACCCCAACAAUAGAAUAGUAAUGAAACCAGCUUGCAACCCAAAUUUUAGAGGUCCAAUACUCAAAUUAUUUCGACCCAAAUGAUAGACAUUGUAAUUUUUAAUAGUAUUAACUAAACAACGAGGAUCAUAAACAAAAAACCAAGAAAGAUUUGGGUAGUUUUCAACAAAGAAAUGCAUAAAAUUCGGGGAUAUUUCAGAGUGCCAACCGUUUAUGUUUUUAGGAGUUUUUUUAUCUCUAAAAAUCAGACUUCAACCUAAAGAAAGUAUGCCUUUAUAGGCAAGCUUCUAGGGCUUCAGAAAUGACUAUGUUUUGCACUUUAAACCUUUUUGAGUUUUUAUUUUUAAUCAAAUACCCUUAGUUCAAAAUUUAGUUUUCCAAAAUAACCCCAAUUCCCAGCUUCUUAGAAGUUUCCCAAGUUUGUUAAGAAAGAUCCCCUACCUAUAUUUCAUAAUUUACCCUGUAGGAUCCCUGCUUCCACCUAAAAAAACUAGAUAGAACAUCGUUCAAAUUGACCCGAAACAAUUUGUUAUGGAUCUGUAUAACCCAGGUUGAACCACCUUUUGCACUUUCUGAUUUUUAUUACCCAAGUCAACAUUGAAAGUUCAAAACUCUCAAAUACUCAUUUAAGGAGUGUUAAAGACUCGUGACUUUUGGGCCCAAAUAGGAACAAAAAUUAAAACACCUUCAAACAUAAAACCAGGAAACAAAUACUAACUAAAUAAUCUAAAAUAACAUGCAAACACAAAUGAUUUGAAGAGAUGGAAAAAUGGAGAACAAAAACUCAGAAAAUAAAAGGAAUAAAUAGAAGAAGAUGAGUAGUGAAGUAUAAAAGUAAAAAUUAAAUAACAUAAGAUAAAGAAAUACCUAAGAACUUGUCGUCGAAAGUGAAAAAUCGAAAACAGCUUACAAAUCUUAAAAUUUCUUUUGCAAGUAUGACUUUAAUUGUGUGUUCUUAUCAAGAACAAACGAAGAACAUCAAAGUAAACCUAAUUUCUCACUAAAAUCUUGAUUUUGCGGCUUUUGGGAUUUUACAUUUCAUAAUUUUGAUUCAAGAUUCGAAGAGUUCCGAACUUAUCCGAGGGCAAAGGGUAAUAGAUUUGGUAUGAGGGAGUCAUUGGGGUUGUAUGAUGUUAAUUUGGGCCGGUUUGGGGGUGGCGCCACCAGCUAGAGACUGAGCGAAAUGGGGCCGACACUUUAGGGUUUCUUUUGGUAUCUGAAGAGGGGUGAAGUGAGAGAGUCGAUUAGAGGGGGAUCGGGCAUUUGGACAGUU